rnacentral:lncRNA from 1 species
GCUCUCCCACGAUGCAUCUUCCUGCAUAGCUCCGCUCCAUUGUACCAGGUAUUGUCUCUUCCUCUGUUUUCCCUGCAAGAUAUCCCUUGUAUCUAAUAUACUAACCGGGUAGAUUAUAGGCUGAUUUUCUAUGGUAACGACUGGAUCGACUUGGACUCCUGCUUCUGGAAUGGGUCCAUAGAAAUUUUUCAGCUUGGAGAUGUGGAAGGUAUUGUGGAUCUUGCUUCCUACUGGCAACUUCAAUUGGUAUGCAGCUUUAUUUAUUUUUCUUGUUAUCUGGAAUGGUCCAAAGUAUCGCUGACUCAAUUUGUUGUGGAGUCUAUUAGUAGCAGAAAUUUGCUUGUAAGGGUGGAGUUUAACUAGCACCCACUGUCCUUCAUUGUAUGAAUAUUCCUUCCUUCCCUUGUCGGCUUGGUUCUUCAUUCUAAUUUGAGCUUUUUCCAAAUUAAUUUUGAGCAUAGCUAAUGUAUCUUCUCUGAUUUUAAGUUCACUAUCUACAGCCUCAAUUGAAGAAGUCCCUUCAAUGUAGUGAGGUAAAUCAGUUGCCUCUUUCCUGUAUAAAGCCUUGUAGGGAGUCAUCUUGAUACUAGAGUGGUAACUAGUAUUAUACCAC